rnacentral:lncRNA from 1 species
AUGUUUUGACCAAUCAAAGGUGGCCCAGUGUUCAAACCAUGUUCAAAUAAGGCAAACGUCGAGCUGGAACCAAUCCGGCUGUUUCUGUGUGAUAUUGACCACAGGAUGCAGCAACAUGGGGAUGACUGAUGACCUUGACAGGAGCAGCGUUGGUUCAGUGGUCCCCAAAGACCUCCUGACAGGGGAAGGUUUCACAGGAGAGGAACUGGAGCUGAGUGCAGAGGACACCAUGGAGCAGUUUUGCCACAGAGUGAAACAGGGAGAUGCCUGGCAG